AGCUUGCUACCUGACCUAGCGGCGGACGGGUGAGUAAUGCUUAGGAAUCUGCCUAUUAGUGGGGGACAACAUUCCGAAAGGAAUGCUAAUACCGCAUACGCCCUACGGGGGAAAGCAGGGGAUCUUCGGACCUUGCGCUAAUAGAUGAGCCUAAGUCAGAUUAGCUAGUUGGUGGGGUAAAGGCCUACCAAGGCGACGAUCUGUAGCGGGUCUGAGAGGAUGAUCCGCCACACUGGGACUGAGACACGGCCCAGACUCCUACGGGAGGCAGCAGUGGGGAAUAUUGGACAAUGGGCGAAAGCCUGAUCCAGCCAUGCCGCGUGUGUGAAGAAGGCCUUUUGGUUGUAAAGCACUUUAAGCGAGGAGGAGGCUACUUAGAUUAAUACUCUAGGAUAGUGGACGUUACUCGCAGAAUAAGCACCGGCUAACUCUGUGCCAGCAGCCGCGGUAAUACAGAGGGUGCGAGCGUUAAUCGGAUUUACUGGGCGUAAAGCGUGCGUAGGCGGCUUCUUAAGUCGGAUGUGAAAUCCCUGAGCUUAACUUAGGAAUUGCAUUCGAUAUUGGGAAGCUAGAGUAUGGGAGAGGAUGGUAGAAUUCCAGGUGUAGCGGUGAAAUGCGUAGAGAUCUGGAGGAAUACCGAUGGCGAAGGCAGCCAUCUGGCCUAAUACUGACGCCGAGGUACGAAAGCAUGGGGAGCAAACAGGAUUAGAUACCCUGGUAGUCCAUGCCGUAAACGAUGUCUACUAGCCGUUGGGGCCUUUGAGGCUUUAGUGGCGCAGCUAACGCGAUAAGUAGACCGCCUGGGGAGUACGGUCGCAAGACUAAAACUCAAAUGAAUUGACGGGGGCCCGCACAAGCGGUGGAGCAUGUGGUUUAAUUCGAUGCAACGCGAAGAACCUUACCUGGUCUUGACAUAGUAAGAACUUUCCAGAGAUGGAUUGGUGCCUUCGGGAACUUACAUACAGGUGCUGCAUGGCUGUCGUCAGCUCGUGUCGUGAGAUGUUGGGUUAAGUCCCGCAACGAGCGCAACCCUUUUCCUUAUUUGCCAGCGGGUUAAGCCGGGAACUUUAAGGAUACUGCCAGUGACAAACUGGAGGAAGGCGGGGACGACGUCAAGUCAUCAUGGCCCUUACGACCAGGGCUACACACGUGCUACAAUGGUCGGUACAAAGGGUUGCUACCUAGCGAUAGGAUGCUAAUCUCAAAAAGCCGAUCGUAGUCCGGAUUGGAGUCUGCAACUC
rnacentral:rRNA from 1 species